GAUGAACGCUGGCGGCGUGCCUAAUACAUGCAAGUCGAGCGGAAGGGCGAGACGCUUGCGUGUCUGAUGAUAGCGGAGGACGGGUGUGAAACACGUGGAUACCGUACCUAUAAGACUGGGAUAACUUCGGGAAACGGGAGAUAAUACGGGAGAAUAUUUUGAACCGCGUGGGUGGAAGGUGAAAGACGGUCGUGCUGGCACGUAUAGAGGGAUCCGCGCUGCAUGAGCUGGUUGGGAAGGUAACGGCUUACCAAGGCAACGAUGCAUGGGCGAGGUGAUGGGCGGGUCGCCCGCCUUGGAGCUGAGACACGCUCCAGGCUCCUACGGGAGGCAGCAGUAGGCUAUGGUCCGCAGUGGUCGGAAGCCUUGCGGAGCAGCGCCGCGUGUGUGAUGAAGGUCUUCGGAGCGUAAAGCCCUCUUAUUAGUUGAGAACAUAUGUGUAAGUAACUGUGCACUUCUUGACGGUACUUGGUCAGAAAGCCCCGGCUAACUACGUG
rnacentral:rRNA from 1 species